rnacentral:misc_RNA from 1 species
UUUCCGUAGGUGAACCUGCGGAAGGAUCACUAAUGAGUUGUCAUGGGGUUCGAUGCUGGCAGCCAGUUUUUGGAUGCAUGUGCUUGCCCUAACAAUCAUCUUCUUCCAAACACCUGUGCACAUUUUUGAGGGAGUCUUGAGUUGGUUGCCGCUCUUGGGUGAUUUUCUCACAUUCCCUUAAAUCAUUAUACGCUAUUAACAAUGUUGAACGUGCUCUGUGCCGCAAGGCCAUUAAUAUAAUACAACUUUUAACAACGGAUCUCUUGGCUCUC